GACGAACGCUGGCGGCGUGCUUAACACAUGCAAGUCGAACGGUAAGGCCCUUCGGGGUACACGAGUGGCGAACGGGUGAGUAACGCGUGAGUAACCUGCCCUUGACUCUGGGAUAACAGAUGGAAACGUCUGCUUAUACCGGAUACUCAGCCUUGUGGGCAUCCACAGGGUUGGAAAGCUCCGGCGGUCAAGGAUGGACUCGCGUCCUAUCAGCUAGUUGGUGGGGUAACGGCCUACCAAGGCGACGACGGGUAGCCGGCCUGAGACGGCGACCGGCCACAUUGGGACUGAGAUACGGCCCAGACUCCUACGGUAGGCAGCAGUGGGGAAUAUUGCACAAUGGGCGAAAGCCUGAUGCAGCGACGCCGCGUGCGGGAUGACGGCCUUCGGGUUGUAAACCGCUUUCAGCAGGGACGAAGCGCAAGUGACGGUACCUGCAAAAGAAGCACCGGCUAACUACGUGCCAGCAGCCGCCGUAA
rnacentral:rRNA from 1 species